CUCAGUUCAGGCUGGGCAGAGGUCACCUCUCAAACCCAACACUCCAGCCCCACUUCCCACACACAGGCAACAAAAAAGUGCCUUUUUUAGGGGGGGGGAAAGUUUCACAGUAGCUGUGAAACUGCAUUUUUGUGCUUUCUAUCUCCAGGAAAUAAGUAAAUAAAUAUAGAGGGACAAAGAAAGAAACAUGAAAGGGCUUUUAGUGCCACUCAGUUGGGAUGAGAGCAGCUAAAGAAGGGCAGACUGCAGGCAUCAGCUUUUUUUUUUUUUUUUUUUUUUUUUUUUUUUUUUUUUUUUUUUUUUUUUUUUUUUUUAGUUUUUAUUUGAACACAGUAUUCUGACAGAAUGCAAAGUCAAAAUCCUCAGUUAGUAUCAGUAUUUACACCAGUGAGAAUGGGGAUAAAGGUGGAGUCGAUGUUUCACUCGGUAAAAAGAUUUUUUGUUUUUUUGUUUUUUUAACAAGAUAGAAGGCCCCCAAAAGUAGGGAAUGCUGGGGAAGGAUGGCCAUGGAGGGGCUGAGAACAACUAUCAAAACAGCCUGGUGGUGAAAAACGUGGGGUUUGAAGGCUCCAUAGAAAAGUGUGAACAGAAAAGCACUCGGGAAGCCGACGGGGUGAUGCACAAUUGUCACCGGUACGAAUGGUGCAGCACGAGAUGGCAGCUCCUGUGGCACUGGGGACGGGCACGGGGGCAUGGCAGGGCCACACAGAGCCAGGGCAGGGCCACUGACCUGGAUGGACACAUGGAAUGGCCACAGCAGGGCCACCGACCCGGGGAUGGACACAUGGAAUGGCCACAGCAGGGCCACCGACCCGGGGAUGGACACAUGGAAUGGCCACAGCAGGGCCACCGACCCGGGGAUGGACACAUGGAAUGGCCACAGCAGGGCCACCGACCCUGGGAUGGACACACAGAGCCAGGGCAGGGCCACCAACCCAGGGAUGGACACAAGGAAUGGCCACGGCAGUGUCACCAACCCAGGGAUGGACACAAGGAAUGGCCACAGCAGUGUCACCGACCCUGGGACAGAAAACUGGAACAGCCACAGCAGGGCCACCGACCUGGGAUGGACACACAGAGCCACGGCAGGGCCACUGACCUGGGAUGGACACACAGAGCCAGGGCAGUGCCACCAACCCAGGGAUGGACACAAGGAAUGGCCACAGCAGUGCCACCAACCCGGGGAUGGACACACAGAGCCACAGCUGCCUUGGAUGGAUUCAUUUCCUCGGGGAAAACAAAGGGGACCAGGAGCCUGAGGUGCCCAGAGCUCGGGGGCGCUGCUCAAAGUGCCGGGUUCGGGCACAAAGCCCCAUCCUGCCCCAAACCCCCCCAGGACGGGCAGGGGAGCCUCAGCCUGCAGCCCCACCGCCCUCCCCGUGCACCCCAGGAGCUGAGGAAAACAAAAUGCAAGAAACCCCACAGUCAGCAAACGACAAGGCCAUUGUUUCUCACAGCUGGACACGGAGUGAUGCCACGGAACACCUGCACGUUCCCAAGGAAUGCACGGACACAGCCCCACACCCCUCAUCCUUCACAGCCACCUCGGGCUGCUCUUCUCAUUUAAAGGCUUCUGCUCUUUGUAAGAGUUGUUCUCUUUCUCUUUUUUAAAUUAUUUUAAUUCCUGAAUAUUUAUUUUUUUUUGUCUGUUCGUUUCUCAAAUCUGAACUAGCGCUACACCUUCCACAUCCAAACUAUGUUGAAGCUUUUAUUAUUUCAAUACUAUGACAAAAAACACGGUUCACACUAAAAUAGUCACGCACCCACAGUGCACAAGCUUGCAGAUCUAAAGUAGAAUUAAAAAAAAAAACCAAACAAACAAAAACCAAAAAGAAAAUAAAAGGGAAAAUAAAAUUAAAAUAAAAAAGAAAAAGAAAUAAUACCCAAAACCCCAACAGGAGGAACAUCUCUAUACAAUGGGCUGGUCUCUCCCUACACUCCUCUGCCUGCCUUCUGCUCAAAGCUCCUUUUCACCCCCAAAUCUCAGCGUUGCUCCAUGAUUCCUGAUAAUAAACCCCAUUAAUCAGCUCUCCCACCCCAAAUCUCAGCGUUGCUCCAUGAUUCCUGAUAAUAAAUCCCAUUAAUCAACUCUCCCACCCCAAAUCUCAGUGUUGCUCCAUGAUUCCUGAUAAUAAACCCCAUUCCUCAGCUCCCCCAUCCAUAAUUUAAUUGAACUCUGGUGCUGCCCCAGCUCUGCCCAGGGAUGUCCCUGGCACAGAAUUCCAGCCCCUGCUCCCAGUUCCAGGGGUUUGGAAUCUGCCCAGCACCUUUGGGAACAAAAUUUUUGCUUUUGGGGUUUUUUUUUUAGGGUCACAGAACAUGGUAUUUUCUGGAAUUGGUAUUUACUGAAAUUGGAGUUUAUUGAAAUUGGUAUUUACUGGAAUUGGUGUUUACUGAAAUUGUUUUUUUUUUCUGAAAUUGGUAUUUUUCUGAAAUUGGGAUUUACUGAAAUUGGAGUUUUCUGAAAUGGGGAUUUUAUGAAACUGGAAUUUUCUGAAAUUGGUGUUUACUGAAAUUGAUAUUUUCUGGAAUUGGUAUUUACCGAAACUGGUAUUUCCCAAACUGGAAUUUGCUGAAAUUGGUAUUUUCUGAAAUUGAAAUUUAUUGAAACUGUUAUUUUCUGAAACUGCUGUUUACUGAAACUGGUAUUUUCCCAAACUGAAAUUUGCUGAAAUUGGUGUUUUCUGCAACUGAUAUUUUCUGACACUGGAAUUUACUGAAAUUGGCAUUUACUGAAAUUGGGAUUUUCUGCAACUGGAAUUUCCUGCCCUAAUCAGGAGGGAUCCAUUUGGUCACACACCUGAGCCCAGACCAGCCCAACCUGCCCAACCUCCCUCGAGCUCCCCAGAGCCGGGGAGGUUCUGUGAAGGAAAGGGGAGAAUGUCCUAAAAAAGCAGAGAUGAUAUUUCUCUUAUGCAGUCAGGCCCAGGUCCAGCGAGGGACUUCAAACUAAAUUUAAGCACAGAAGGAUUUUCUCCAGCAAUUCCCUCACCCCAAGCAGAUUUGGGGAUUUGCUGGACAAAGCCCUUGACUGGUGGCGAGUGGUUUGAGCACCCCCACCCCCCCAAAAAAACCCCAAACCGAACCCCAGCAUCGCUUUUCUUCUUACUCCAGUAAGAAAUAAUAAUAAUAAUAAUAACAAUAAUAAUAAUAAUAACAAUAAUUAAGAAAAGAGAAAAGGGGAAACGACUACUGUAAACAUCCAUGGUUGAAAAUGUCUCCCUUUGCAAAGCAAGCAUGCUGCUACCCUAGUGUCUACAGGACUGGAUGGACUGAAAAAACAAAACAAAACAAAAAAAGACAAAACAAAACAAAAAAAAAAAAAAAAAAAAAAAAAAAAAAACCCCAAAAAAAAAAAAAAAAAAAAAAAAAAAAAAGGAAAAGGCAGCUAUUUUACACAUCCAUUUCAACACAACAAAAGUUAAAAAAAUAUCUGUCAAUUGUAAACACUGGAAAGAACCAAAGUUGGCAAAAAAAAAAAAAAAAAACUGAACGUAGGAUUGAAAAAGAAAUGUAGAGUCUGAAUACUGCAAAUUGAAAUACAUCCCCCGAAGCUGCAAUUUUGGCAUUCUUCCUAAAAACCAGAUAAUAAUAAACCCCAAAUAAAGGUCUAACAUGGUGAGCAGGAUUCAGUCACAAAGAGCUCCAGACACUUUGCAUACUGACCAGAUACAAGGUGAACAGAAAUUAUAACUUAUUUAUGAGGCUUUACAUAUUUCAAACUCGACUGAAAAGUAUAAAAAUAAAUUGUGGACUUUGUUCUUUAAGCACCAGCUGUGCCCAGCAGCACACUGGUUAUCUCUGCUAUACUAACAAAGGAAACAACAGGGUCUCUUUGCAUUUUUUUUUGUCUUUUUAGUGAUUUUUUUUUUUUUUUUUAUGUCUAGGACUACUUGAUUUGGAGCUUCCCAACCACAUUGCAACCAGCAUUGCAAUGUUUGUUUGUCUGAAUAUACACAGGGCCAGCUGAGCCCUGAUUUGGUGAUGGGUUUAACCCUGUUUUUAACAUGUUUUACUUUUUAAAAGCAAGUGCACAACGAAUAGAACUUCUCUAGAAAUCUCAAAGAAACCAAAAAACAGAAAUCAAAACAAACGAACAAAAAAAACCAACAAAAAGAGAAGAAGAGGAAAUUAAAAUAAAAAAAAAAAGAGAAAAUAAAAGGAAAAAAGAGACAUUCCCUCCCUCCCCCCAUUUAUGCAUUUUUCUGGUUGGUUGGUUUGUUUUUUGUUUUUUAAAAAAAGGCAACAGACACUAGAGGAAUGAGAUGGGUGUGUGGGUUGUGAUUUCAAUGCUCGGGUGAAGGUUUCUCCGCCCCCUCUGCCGGUGCUGAUCAUGCUUUGCUCUCGCUCUCGUUUGUUUGUGUGGCUUCGUUGGGCACCGUCUUCACUUCUGCCGGGGGGCUCUUCCUGUCCUGCACGGCGCCUUUGUCCUCUGCUGCCAUUUUCCUGGGGAGAAGCACCAGAGGGACACAGUUUAGAGGCACAGAAACGCAGCCUGGCCUGACCCAGCCACGGGGAAGGAGGGUUUGUCUGGGAAUAAAUCGCUUUGGGACGGCAAAACCAGCGUUCCCUGAUGCUGGAGUAAGGAAAACCGAGCUCAGAUCCCCCACCCUGGUUCAUUUGGUUCUGCAUUAAUAUUUUCUUGGCUUCUCCUGCCCUGGCUUGGCUCAGGGCUCAGCUGCAAGGGUGCAAAAAGCAGCAGCAAGGAAACCUCACACAGCUGCAGAAGGAUUUGGCUUCAGCACCCAAACUCCCUGAUAACUUUGCAGCAAUCCCGUUUUUUUGUGUGUUCCUGCAGGAAGCCAGUCCUGAAAUCCCCAGGCUGCUGGAGAAAGGGGAACACAGAGGACAGCAAUUCUGGCACGGACAUUUUCACAAGCCAGAGGGAGGUCAGGACCCCCAGCCCAGCCAGAGUCCAACAUCUGCAGCACAGCUGGGACCCUCCCCAGCCCCCAGGUGCUGUUUGCUCUCUCCUGCCCAACUCAGGGCGCUGCUCCAGCUUGGGGACAACUCCAGAGGUUCCAGUGCUGUCACCCUGGCACGGGGCACCGCUGCCCAGCCUGACCCUGAGGCUCCUCUGCCCUGCAGGGAUCUGGGGGUUGUGCUCACUGACCUGCAGAACCUCAGCUCUCAGCACCAAACUGCACUAACCCUGCUCUUCUUCAUGAAAGAACAACCCAGCACGCACAAAGCUGCCCGAAAGCCCGAACACCAGCACAUUUCUGACAAACUCCCAGCCUCCUUUCCUCUGCCUCCCUGGCACAGCCUACUCCUGCUCUCCUGCUGGCCCAAGCCAAGCCGAGCCCCGUGGGCUCUCAGGGGAGUUAGUUGGCCAAGGAAACAGUGAGAUCAAUCAAGAGAACACCCAACAGAGGACACAGCACGAGCACCAGGGCACGAGGGACACAGCACACAACCAACACAAGAGUAAAGGCGGCCGUACUCGGUCUUUGCGGGGGCAGAGCUGUCUGCAGCAGCAGCCUCGGGGGCUUGCCCAGCAGCAGGAGGAGUAGCAGUGCCAAGAGCUGCAAAAACAUCCUUGGCAAGGUCAAUGUCUGGUGGCUUGAAGGUCCCUUCGUCCAUUUUUAAGUCCUCGUUCUGCGAGGGGUUGGCGGCGCUGCCCGAGGCAGCCUCGCUCUUGGCGCCGCUCGGGUUCUUGGGGGUCUCUGCUGGGCUCUUCACCGUGCCGGGCUCCUUCUCGGGGCUCUUGGCCCCCUCCUGCUUGGGCUCUGAGGCAGCUGCAGGGCCCGCGGGGCUGGCAGGGCUGGGGGCGGCCGGCUUGCUCCCGGCCUUGGCGGCGUCGGCCGCGGCGGCGCUGGGGCUGAGCACGGCCUGCCCCGGCAGGACGCUCGGAGAUAAAUUACUGCUGGCCGGAGCAGAGCUGGGGGUGUCGCUGAGAUCAACCAGAGGGGCCACUGUGGGGCCCCCCCCCCCCCCCCCCCCCCCCCCCCCCCCCCCCCCCCCCCCCCCCCCCCCCCCCCCCCCCCCCCCCCCCCCC
ensembl:lncRNA